rnacentral:rRNA from 1 species
AGAUUGAACGCUAGCGGGAUGCUUUACACAUGCAAGUCGAACGGCAGCGCGGACUUCGGUCUGGCGGCGAGUGGCGAACGGGUGAGUAAUAUAUCGGAACGUGCCCAGUAGCGGGGGAUAACUACGCGAAAGCGUGGCUAAUACCGCAUACGCCCUACGGGGGAAAGGGGGGGAUUCUUCGGAACCUCUCACUAUUGGAGCGGCCGAUAUCAGAUUAGCUAGUUGGUGAGGUAAAGGCUCACCAAGGCCGCGAUCUGUAGCUGGUUUGAGAGGACGACCAGCCACACUGGGACUGAGACACGGCCCAGACUCCUACGGGAGGCAGCAGUGGGAAUUUGGACAAGUGGGGGAAACCCUGAUCCAGCCAUCCCGCGUGUGCGAUGAAGGCCGUUCGGGUUGUAAAGCUACGUUUGGCGAGGAAGAGACGGCGUCGACUAAUAUUGACGUCACUGACGGUACUGACAGAAGUAA